rnacentral:rRNA from 1 species
UACGUAGGCAGCAAGCGUUGUUCGGAAUUACUGGGCGUAAAGGGCUCGUAGGCGGCCAACUAAGUCAGACGUGAAAUCCCUCGGCUUAACCGGGGAACUGCGUCUGAUACUGGAUGGCUUGAGUUUGGGAGAGGGAUGCGGAAUUCCAGGUGUAGCGGUGAAAUGCGUAGAUAUCUGGAGGAACACCGGUGGCGAAGGCGGCGUCCUGGACCAACACUGACGCUGAGUGAGCGAAAGCCAGGGGAGCAAACGGG